rnacentral:rRNA from 1 species
GACGAACGCUGGCGGCGUGCUUAACACAUGCAAGUCGAACGGAAAGGCCCUGCUUUUGUGGGGUGCUCGAGUGGCGAACGGGUGAGUAACACGUGAGUAACCUGCCCUUGACUUUGGGAUAACUUCAGGAAACUGGGGCUAAUACCGGAUAGGAGCUCCUGCUGCAUGGUGGGGGUUGGAAAGUUUCGGCGGUUGGGGAUGGACUCGCGGCUUAUCAGCUUGUUGGUGGGGUAGUGGCUUACCAAGGCUUUGACGGGUAGCCGGCCUGAGAGGGUGACCGGCCACAUUGGGACUGAGAUGCGGCCCAGACUCCUACGGGAGGCAGCAGUGGGGAAUAGUGCACAAUGGGCGGAAGGCUGAUGCAGCAACGCCGCGUGGGGGAUGACGGCCUUCGGGUUGUAAACCGCUUUCGCCUGUGACGAAGCGUGAGUGACGGUAAUGGGUAAAGAAGCACCGGCUAACUACGUG